UAGGGAAUCUUCCACAAUGGACGCAAGUCUGAUGGAGCAACGCCGCGUGAGUGAAGAAGGUUUUCGGAUCGUAAAGCUCUGUUGUUGGUGAAGAAGGAUAGAGGUAGUAACUGGCCUUUAUUUGACGGUAAUCAACCAGAAAGUCACGGCUAACUACGUGCCAGCAGCCGCGGUAAUACGUAGGUGGCAAGCGUUGUCCGGAUUUAUUGGGCGUAAAGCGAGCGCAGGCGGAAGAAUAAGUCUGAUGUGAAAGCCCUCGGCUUAACCGAGGAACUGCAUCGGAAACUGUUUUUCUUUAGUGCAGAAGAGGAAAGUGGAAUUCCAUGUGUAGCGGUGGAAUGCGUAGAUAUAUGGAAGAACACCAGUGGCGAAGGCGACUCUCUGGUCUGCAACUGACGCUGAGGCUCGAAAGCAUGGGUAGCGAACAGG
rnacentral:rRNA from 1 species